ACAGAGGGUGCGAACGUUGUUCGGAAUUACUGGGCGUAAAGCGCAUGUAGGCGGCAGCGCAAGUCGGGCGUGAAAUCCCACGGCUCAACCGUGGAAGUGCACUCGAAACUGCGCAGCUAGAGUCCUGGAGAGGAAGGUGGAAUGCUUGGUGUAGAGGUGAAAUUCGUAGAUAUCAAGCGGAACACCGGUGGCGAAGGCGGCCUUCUGGACAGUGACUGACGCUGAGAUGCGAAAGCGUGGGGAGCAAACAGGA
rnacentral:rRNA from 1 species